AUGAGAUCCUCCCUUUCCUGGAUAGCUUGAGAAAUGGAUUGCGCACAUUGGGAUCAUCAACCUGAGCAUAUGCCAGUUGACAUGGGAACACUGAGGCCAGCAAUUUAAGGAUUUUCACAUUUGCCUGCAGUGGUAAGAUUUAAAGAUAUAACAAUAAAAGACAUUAAAUAUUACUGGGU
rnacentral:lncRNA from 12 species